rnacentral:rRNA from 1 species
UACGGAGGGUGCGAGCGUUGUUCGGAAUCACUGGGCGUAAAGGGCGUGUAGGCGGUCUGUUAAGUCUGAUGUGAAAGCCCGGGGCUCACCCCCGGAAGUGCAUUGGAUACUGGCGGACUCGAGUCCCGGAGAGGAGGGUGGAAUUCCUGGUGUAGCGGUGAAAUGCGUAGAUAUCGAGAGGAACACCUGCGGCGAAGGCGGGUUGCUGGGCUGACACUGACGCUGAGGCGCGAAAGCUAGGGGAGCGAACGGG